CUCCCCUGCUGCUCCGCCGCUUCUCUUUCUUUCUCUCUCUCUCUCUCUCUCUGUACCUCUCCUCCAACCCCGCCCCUUCCCUGCUGCUUUGCCGCCGCCCGUCCUCGUUAGCUGCCGUGCCGCCCUCCUCUACCACUUCUCCACCGCGACUGUUGCGAUUUCGUGCGCGGAGUGAUUGGGCGAGCGCGACCUUCCCUACGAAGGCGACUCCGCGUCGAGUUCCAUGCCCAUCUCCCUUCUCCACGCCACCCCUACCAUCACCUCGACGCGGGGCAUGCCAGCUCCUCCUCUCCCCUUCCCUUAAUCCAGAUCCGUGGAGGUGGUCGGCAGGAACACGCCAUCGACCUUAGGGUUGAGCAGUGGCGAUCAUCCCAGAUCAGAGUCAUCCGGCAUCGCUCGAGGGAGAUUACAGCGAUUUCAUGAUUGUGGGAGAUUCCUUGCUCUUUUGGGCCUGUGGAAGUGGCUACUUGUGGAGGUUGAUUGAUUUGGUUGGUUCGUUGCCACGAGAGUGACGGUUUGGAGAUAUGUUCUUGUUUUUGGUACAUGUUCAAAUACUGACAUAAAAAUAUAAUGUGAUAAAUUCAGAUACAUCUUUUUAAAUAGGCGAUAUGAUCUUGUUUGAUUUCUCUACAAGAUCUCAGAUAGCCAACUAGCAUCAUUCUUAAAUCAAAAGAAAGAUUGUGAUCCGCGCAGUUAUGAUAUGUCCUCAUAGUGAAUUUAAAACAUGAAAACUGUAACCUGAAGCUUUGAGCUUUAUCACCUGAUCUUUUCUGUUUAUAAUGAACACCAAGCUAUAAAUCUUCACGUGCCUUUCUUGUUUAAGGUUGUCAGUCGAUCUACGCGCAGCUGCGGCUCCGUGUCCUGACAAGGUCUCUAUGGAUAACAAGCGCAUUGAGUAUGUCGCCCUCCUGCUCGUCCGCUUCCUCGACAUCCUCUAGGACCUACACGGCCCCCACGCCCGCGAGUUCAUACAUCUGGUCUACUUCCGAGAUCCGCAUACCAUCUGUUCGAUGAUAUUCCCAUACAGAUUGUUUGGUUCUGUUUCUACUAUACAGGUGCUUAAUCUUGGUGUGGAUUGAGGCAUCACAAUUUUGUUAGGCUAGGGUAUUCAAGAUCAGGACACACAUCAUGGUGAGCUCCUUGGUCAUCAGCUGAUCCAUCACCGAGGUAUGUAUUCACCACUGACUUCUGAUCAUAUGGAUUCUCCUUAUAAUCUAGAGAUUACAGUUCUUCAGAAAAACUGUAUUAUCGAGUCGCGAGGUGCCGCUUGCUGUUAGACUAGCUGGAGAUGUGGUCCUCAACUAAUGCAAUGCGAGUAUGUGACGAUGACUUUGGCAUACGGAUGUUGUUGUUCCAACUUGAAUUUCAAAGAUACUUGAGAGGAAUUUCACCAGUUCCUGGGAUAAUUUGAUAUUUUGACGUGCUUUGGUAACUCUAUAUAUGUGUUUAAGUCGUAAGUCUGGUGGUUUCGUAGUUACUAUCCUCCCUCGAGGGCAGUGCUUGUGUUAGACAUUUUUGGGAUGCCACCCUUUGUAUUUCCGUGGGGAAAGAUAGAAGGAACAUAUAUUAAUGGAUUAUGACUGUAGUUAUUAGUUUGCGUGGGUUGGAUGUUUCGCGUAUUUGGUGUUUUUGCUCCUGGAUUGUGAAAUAUUUAUUUUGUUGAAUGUUUUCCCUUAUACUGGAUUAUGUUAUCACAUGAAGCAAAUGCUCAUUCCCCCCAUUUUUCUUGUAUUAUAUGUGUCCUUCCUUUUAGGCUUCAGGCGUUGCAAGCCAGACAUGAGUAUCUUGUUCAUUUGCACUGCUAAUUUUAUGAUUUUCUACUACAGAUGGAAAAUUUAUUCUCUAGGGGAUUGACGAACCAUUAAUCUAAUAGAACUGAUACAUGUAUAUGUAAGUAGAAUUGUGAAACUUGGAGCAAAGCUUGGCUGCUUGCAGCACUCUGUUUACCUUCUGUUGACUCUCCAUUUCAUUCUGCUACAGUUAAAUUCUGCCAUCCAAUAAAUGUGUCUUUGUUUCAGAAAAUAAGCAGUGCAUCAUACCAUAUUGUAGCACAUUUACCUAUAGCUCAUUGUCUAUGCCAUUCUUAUUAUGUUAUAAAGGGAAAUAAUCAACUAUUAGAUGACCUAGAGUAUGUAUUCUGGACACAAUCUACCCGUGUAGAUCUUUUUAUGUUGAGUUAUAAAUCAAUUGCCUGAUUUUAUUGUUCUUUUCACCCUUGAUGUAUAAAGGAUAUUUAACUUGUAAGAUUUCUAAGAUAUGCCAUUAGUAACGAGAUUGUUUGCUUUGCAUGCAUAUUGCUCAGUUGCACACUAAGGGAAAGAAAUUAGUUUUGUUUCUGAAAUUCUUCCAUUUUGUAAUAGGUUUUAAAUUUUAAAUCAAAGUUCCGUCAAGCAAAUAUAUUACUAAUGUGCCGAUUGCUUGCUUAGUAAUAAGUGUUUUUCAAUAGAAUGGCCCUUGUGACCAGAACUGAAAUUAUUUAGUUGUUACAUUCUCAUAUAGGCUCUGUUUCAAAUAGUAUAAGAAUGAUAUGCACUGUGUUUGGCAGGAUGUGUUGCCAGCAAUGUAAGUCGCCAUCAUGAGACCUGGCUUCUCCCCCAGCCUUCUCUUCUUGUUGACAAGGCUCGACGCUGCGCCUCCUUGCGACCCCUGUGGCGAUGCACGGCGCUGCUACUCCCCUAGGACUCAUCUAGAUGGUUUUUUCCCUAAAUUUUUCACAUCCUUCAGAUAAACUUUUCUUACUGAUUUUUUUUACUGUUUGUUGGUAACUGAUGUUUUAAAGUUGAAGCAGCCAAUGUUUUACAGAUCGAUAUGUACCCUCUGUACUGAAUAAAUGGGUGUCUCAAUAGAUGGAUUGGGUCAAAGUAUGUAUAUAUACCACACUUGAGGUCAGUUGUGUUUUCUCAGGUUUGAAUGAUGACUGUUUUCAGAAACUUCUUCCGAAUCUAGGUCAUAGGCUGCGACUGAAGAUGCAACAACAUACCUCAUUCUGCUAUGAUGUUAGCUUCCUGCUUUAGUUACCAGGCAAAAUUUCUUGCGCUUUGUGCCUUCGUGUUUCUCGUUCACAGCUGAAUGAUGAUUGGGGAAUUCCUUUUAAAUGUGGUUAACAAUAAGGAUGCAAUCGCCUAUAAUUAGCUUGCUUUUCUAUUGCUAAGUAACUUUCUUAUGCCAUCAUUUUCCGAGUAUUUUUAUGUUGCAGGUAUCUUGUCCAGAGCCAAUGGAGACAAGCAACACCAUGCUGCUGCUAUAUCUUAAUGGUCUUUCUUUCACAAUAGUGAUGUACUUUUUAUACGUUAGGCAGUGGUAACCUUCCUUCUUUUGAUGAUGUUAUACUACUUAGUUUUGGCAUACACCAAUGUACCAGCUUACUUCUGUUUCACUUAUUUUGCACUUAGCCAAGCUUGUUACUUUGAAUCUCAUGCAAUACCAUUACAUAGUAUAAAUAAGAAAGUGAAAGGGACGCCUCCCACCUGGCACCGCC